AAUGAUGGUUAUAAUAAUGAUUAUAAUAAAAUGAAAAAAAAUGUAAGGAAAUACUGUUUAGACCCAUAUGAACAAGAACGUGAAUCUAAUUUUUUACAAAUUAUAAACUAUAUCGAAAAGAAUUUGAAAGAAAAGUGUACUUGGUACAUGUAUGAUUAUGUUAUAUUUAUGUUAGAAUACCAUGGUAUUUUUAUUAAUAACUUCGACUUUUUGUAUAAAAUAUCAUUUGUACAUAUGUCAGACAACGAUUAUUGUAAUUUGCAGAGGAUUAAAAAUGGAAAAAAAAAAAAAAAAAAAAAAAAAAAAUGUUUAAAAAGAAAAAAAAGCAGUCAAAUAUAUAUCCCCUUAUAUGUACGAAACAUAUGUAAUAAAAAAAUAAUGAAUAAUAGUUUAAAUUAUAAACAAAGGGUUUAUUACAAUAUGAUGAUAAAAUUAAGCAGAAAUUUUUUAUGCUUUAAUUAUUUAUCUUACGUAAAUAUAAUUAACAAAUUUCAAAUAAAUAAUCUAAAUGGAAACUCUGAUUGUUUUAUGAAAUAUAAUAAAAAAUAUAUAGAUUCUAAUAAAAUAAAUUUUUUGCAUAUUUAUAUAUUGAAUUACUUUUUAGCAAACCAUAGUUGGAAUGCUAUGUAUUUUUUUAUAAUAAAAAAUACUAAUAUAUUUUACCACUUAGAGAAUUGUAACUAUUAUAUAGAACAGGGAUAUAAAAACGGAGGAACCGUGGGUUCUUUUUUUGGAAAUACCAAAAAAAUAACCAAAAGCAGUAGCAAUCGAAAAAGCAAUAAUGACAAUCUGUCAGAUUCAGAAUUGUUAUAUUGCCAUUGUUACAUAUAUUCUCAAGUACCUAACAGUCUAGUACCGUUAGCGUUAUAUAACAGUGCAGUUAUAUUUAAACAAAAACUAACAAAAUGUGUGAAAAGUAAUUCAUAUAAUAUAUUAUGGGAAGGUGGUAUAUAUAAUACUAACCCAAAUCAAGUGAAAGAAAAAAUAAAUAAAAAAAAAAAUGAAAUUUACUCAAACAAACACAAUGAUAUGGUUGAGAAAAUAGAAAAUAUAUGUAACACAUUUUUAAAAAAAGAUACACAUAAUAUAAAAUAUACAUCACUUUAUCUUUUAAGCUUUUUAAAUGUGAAAUUAUUUUUAUGCUUAUUUGUGUUUGUCAAUAUGGAUAUAUUUGACUUUGAAAAAAAUAAGGUGGGUAAUCCAUUGUAUAUAAAUAUAUAUUAUUUUAAAAAGUUAACUAAAUGUUUUAUGCCGUCUAUAUAUGAGGCUUAUUUUUCUUGUAAAAACAAUUUAAAAAAAAAAAUAAAAAAAAAGUUAGAACAAGAAAAAAGGUUAUACAACAAUUAUUUCGAAGUAAGUAUAAAUAAUUUAAAAAAAUAUAAGGAAAAUUAUUUUAAUAUAGCAUCGAAAGGGUAUAAAUUUGAUAAUAGUAAUACUGGAUAUGAUAAAGAAACAACGGAUAGGUUUUCUGCAAACGGAAAGGAAAAAAAAAAUAUAUAUUCUAAACAGCAUUCAAACAUAUAUGAAUAUAAUUAUUGUUUAGAAAAUUUAUGGAUAAUAAAAAAAAUAAAUGAAGAUAAAUAUAAUGAUAAUAUGACAAAUGCAAAUUUUAAUUUGGUACAAAAAAUAGCUGAAGAUGAAAAAUGUGACAAUUACAAAAGUAAAUAUAAAAAAAAAAAGUAUCCAAUAUAAUUGUGAGCUAAAAUUUGAUCAUUGUUUUGAUUCUUUUACAUUUAACAAAGAUCUAUCAUUAAAAUUAUUGUUAGAAAAAACAGCAGAUACAAUUUUUUUUAAAAAAUAUUUUGUUCCAAUUUCAAUUUUUGAGCGAUUGUUUAAUCAGCCGAAUGAACAAAUGGUAUAUGUUAAGAAGAAUAAAUCAAAAUGUCGCAAAAUAUGUAAUAAAGGU
ensembl:lncRNA